UGGGGGAAUUUUGGACAAUGGGGGAAACCCUGAUCCAGCCAUCCCGCGUGUGCGAUGAAGGCCUUCGGGUUGUAAAGCACUUUUGGCAGGAAAGAAACGUCGCGGGUUAAUACCCCGCGAAACUGACGGUACCUGCAGAAUAAGCACCGGCUAACUACGUGCCAGCAGCCGCGGUAAUACGUAGGGUGCAAGCGUUAAUCGGAAUUACUGGGCGUAAAGCGUGCGCAGGCGGUUCGGAAAGAAAGAUGUGAAAUCCCAGAGCUUAACUUUGGAACUGCAUUUUUAACUACCGGGCUAGAGUGUGUCAGAGGGAGGUGGAAUUCCGCGUGUAGCAGUGAAAUGCGUAGAUAUGCGGAGGAACACCGAUGGCGAAGGCAGCCUCCUGGGAUAACACUGACGCUCAUGCACGAAAGCGUGGGGAGCAAACAGGAUUAGAUACCCUGGUAGUCCACGCCCUAAACGAUGUCAACUAGCUGUUGGGGCCUUCGGGCCUUGGUAGCGCAGCUAACGCGUGAAGUUGACCGCCUGGGGAGUACGGUCGCAAGAUU
rnacentral:rRNA from 1 species